rnacentral:rRNA from 1 species
GACGAACGCUGGCGGCGUGCCUCAAAACAUGCAAGUCGAGCGGGGGAACUUUUUAAAAGCGCAAGCUUUUAUAAGUUCCUAGCGGCGAACGGGUGAGUAACACGUGGGCAACCUACCCAGAAGACCGGGAUAACGGCUCGAAAGGGCCGCUAAUACCGGAUAAUGUCGGGGUACCGCAUGGUACUCCGAAGAAAGGGGAAACCCGCUUUUGGAUGGGCCCGCGUCCCAUCAGCUAGUUGGUGAGGUAACGGCUCACCAAGGCGACGACGGGUAGCCGGUCUGAGAGGAUGGUCGGCCACACUGGGACUGAGACACGGCCCAGACUCCUACGGGAGGCAGCAGUUGGGAAUCUUGGGCAAUGGGCGAAAGCCUGACCCAGCGACGCCGCGUGAGGGAAGAAGGGCCUUCGGGUCGUAAACCUCUGUCAUGGGGGAAGAAGCAAGUGACGGUACCCAAGAGGAAGCCCCUGCUAACUACGUG